UUUGGUGAUGAUGGCGGAGGGGACCCACGCGUUCCCAUCUCGAACACGACCGNUUAAGCCCUCCAGCGUCGAUGGUACUUGAACCGCAGGGUUCUGGGAGAGUAGAACGUUGCCAAGC
rnacentral:rRNA from 1 species